rnacentral:rRNA from 1 species
CUCUCGCAUCGAUGAAGAACGCAGCGAAUUGCGAUAAGUAAUGUGAAUUGCAGAAUUCAGUGAAUCAUCGAAUCUUUGAACGCACCUUGCACCCUUUGGUAUUCCAAAGGGUACGCCCGUUUGAGUGUCAUUGUAACCUCACAUCCAAAGCCUUUCUCCAAGGCCUCGGAAGGUGGAAAUUGGAUGCAUGCGAGACUUUCUCGCUCGUCUCAAAAGAAUUCCGCAAUGUGCCCCAGCUUUGUGAGUCGGUGUGAUAGUUGUCUUCACCGCACAGAUGCAAUUUUGGUGGCCAAUGCCCUCGAAAGGUCCCCUCUGGGACAAUGACUUGACAAUUUGACCUCAAAUCGGGUGGGACUACCCGCUGAACUUAAGCAUAUCAAUAAGCGGAGGAAAAGGAACU